rnacentral:rRNA from 1 species
AUUGAACGCUGGCGGCAGGCCUAACACAUGCAAGUCGAGCGAGCGGCGGACGGGUGAGUAAUGUCUGGGAAACUGCCUGAUGGAGGGGGAUAACUACUGGAAACGGUAGCUAAUACCGCAUACCAUCAGAUGUGCCCAGGUGUGAUUAGCUAGUAGGUGGGGUAACGGCUCACCUGGGCGACGAUCCCUAGCUGGGCUGAGAGGAUGACCAGCCACACUGGAACUGAGACACGGUCCAGACUCCUACGGGAGGCAGCAGUGGGGAAUAUUGCACAAUGGGCGCAAGCCUGAUGCAGCAAUGCCGCGUGUGUGAAGAAGGCCUUCGGGUUGUAAAGCACUGUCAGCGGGGAGGCGUUACCCGCAGAGGAAGCAACGGCUAACUCCGUGCCAGCAGCCGCGGUAAUAC